rnacentral:rRNA from 1 species
UACGUAGGGUGCAAGCGUUGUCCGGAAUCACUGGGCGUAAAGCGCACGUAGGCGGACUCUUAAGUCAGGGGUGAAAUCCUGGAGCUCAACUCCAGAACUGCCUUUGAUACUGGGAGUCUUGAGUUCGGGAGAGGUGAGUGGAACUGCGAGUGUAGAGGUGAAAUUCGUAGAUAUUCGCAAGAACACCAGUGGCGAAGGCGGCUCACUGGCCCGAUACUGACGCUGAGGUGCGAAAGCGUGGGGAGCAAACAGG